rnacentral:rRNA from 1 species
CUCGUAGGCGGUUCGGUAAGUCGGGUGUGAAAACUUUGGGCUUAACCCAAAGCGUGCAUCCGAUACUGCUGUGACUUGAGUUCGGUAGGGGAGUGGGGAAUUCCUAGUGUAGCGGUGAAAUGCGCAGAUAUUAGGAGGAACACCGGUGGCGAAGGCGCCACUCUGGGCCGAAACUGACGCUGAGGAGCGAAAGCGUGGGUAGCAAACA